rnacentral:rRNA from 1 species
CAGGGUAUAGACCCGAAACCCGGUGAUCUAGCCAUGGGCAGGUUGAAGGUUGGGUAACACUAACUGGAGGACCGAACCGACUAAUGUUGAAAAAUUAGCGGAUGACCUGUGGCUGGGGGUGAAAGGCCAAUCAAACCGGGAGAUAGCUGGUUCUCCCCGAAAGCUAUUUAGGUAGCGCCUCGUGAAUUCAUCUCCGGGGGUAGAGCACUGUUUCGGCUAGGGGGCCAUCCCGGCUUACCAACCCGAUGCAAACUGCGAAUACCGGAGAAUGUUAUCACGGGAGACACACGGCGGGUGCUAACGUCCGUCGUGAAGAGGGAAACAACCCAGACCGCCAGCUAAGGUCCCAAAGUCAUGGUUAAGUGGGAAACGAUGUGGGAAGGCCCAGACAGCCAGGAUGUUGGCUUAGAAGCAGCCAUCAUUUAAAGAAAGCGUAAUAGCUCACUGGUCGAGUCGGCCUGCGCGGAAGAUGUAACGGGGCUAAACCAUGCACCGAAGCUGCGGCAGCGACGCUUAUGCGUUGUUGGGUAGGGGAGCGUUCUGUAAGCCUGCGAAGGUGGCCUGUGAGGGUUGCUGGAGGUAUCAGAAGUGCGAAUGCUGACAUAAGUAACGAUAAAGCGGGUGAAAAGCCCGCUCGCCGGAAGACCAAGGGUUCCUGUCCAACGUUAAUCGGGGCAGGGUGAGUCGACCCCUAAGGCGAGGCCGAAAGGCGUAGUCGAUGGGAAACGGGUUAAUAUUCCCGUACUUGGUGUUACUGCGAAGGGGGGACGGAGAAGGCUAUGUUGGCCGGGCGACGGUUGUCCCGGUUUAAGCGUGUAGGUGUGUGUUCCAGGUAAAUCCGGUUCACUUUAACACUGAGGCGUGACGACGAGGCACUACGGUGCUGAAGCAACAAAUGCCCUGCUUCCAGGAAAAGCCUCUAAGCAUCAGGUAACAUCAAAUCGUACCCCAAACCGACACAGGUGGUCAGGUAGAGAAUACCAAGGCGCUUGAGAGAACUCGGGUGAAGGAACUAGGCAAAAUGGUGCCGUAACUUCGGGAGAAGGCACGCUGACACGUAGGUGAAGUGAUUUACUCAUGGAGCUGAAGUCAGUCGAAGAUACCAGCUGGCUGCAACUGUUUAUUAAAAACACAGCACUGUGCAAACACGAAAGUGGACGUAUACGGUGUGACGCCUGCCCGGUGCCGGAAGGUUAAUUGAUGGGGUCAGCGCAAGCGAAGCUCCUGAUCGAAGCCCCGGUAAACGGCGGCCGUAACUAUAACGGUCCUAAGGUAGCGAAAUUCCUUGUCGGGUAAGUUCCGACCUGCACGAAUGGCGUAAUGAUGGCCAGGCUGUCUCCACCCGAGACUCAGUGAAAUUGAACUCGCUGUGAAGAUGCAGUGUACCCGCGGCAAGACGGAAAGACCCCGUGAACCUUUACUAUAGCUUGACACUGAACAUUGAGCCUUGAUGUGUAGGAUAGGUGGGAGGCUUUGAAGUGUGGACGCCAGUCUGCAUGGAGCCGACCUUGAAAUACCACCCUUUAAUGUUUGAUGUUCUAACGUGGACCCGUUACCCGGGUUGCGGACAGUGUCUGGUGGGUAGUUUGACUGGGGCGGUCUCCUCCUAAAGAGUAACGGAGGAGCACGAAGGUUGGCUAAUCCUGGUCGGACAUCAGGAGGUUAGUGCAAUGGCAUAAGCCAGCUUGACUGCGAGCGUGACGGCGCGAGCAGGUGCGAAAGCAGGUCAUAGUGAUCCGGUGGUUCUGAAUGGAAGGGCCAUCGCUCAACGGAUAAAAGGUACUCCGGGGAUAACAGGCUGAUACCGCCCAAGAGUUCAUAUCGACGGCGGUGUUUGGCACCUCGAUGUCGGCUCAUCACAUCCUGGGGCUGAAGUAGGUCCCAAGGGUAUGGCUGUUCGCCAUUUAAAGUGGUACGCGAGCUGGGUUUAGAACGUCGUGAGACAGUUCGGUCCCUAUCUGCCGUGGGCGCUGGAGAACUGAGGGGGGCUGCUCCUAGUACGAGAGGACCGGAGUGGACGCAUCACUGGUGUUCGGGUUGUCAUGCCAAUGGCACUGCCCGGUAGCUAAAUGCGGAAGAGAUAAGUGCUGAAAGCAUCUAAGCACGAAACUUGCCCCGAG